CCCUUCGUGGUGUAGUGGUCAACACGCUCGGCGCGAAUUCGAGAGAUCCAUGGUUCGAGUCCCGGCGAGGACA
rnacentral:tRNA from 1 species